UAUGGUUGCGUUAAGAAAGGCGUAAUUGUGAAACGUAUGGAUAAUGGAAUAAAAUACCAUUACGAAAGAAUUAUAGGAAAUAUGCUGGUAAUUACAUCCUUGGUGUAAGCUUGGAUGAGAAUUAUAGUGCGUUACAAAAUCUGACAGGAAAGAAGAACGUCGGAAGAAGGUUUGGUGGAAGGGAAUAGAGAGAAAGAAAAUUUGUUGAAAGGUGUAAUGUUAUUUGAGAAAGGAAAGUUGGCAUAGAAGGAAGAGAGAAAUGUAUAGGACUUGAUAAAUUUAAUAAGUGGUAAAUGGGUGGUAGAAGACAAAAGAGCGGUGAUUGUGGAAAAAAUGGAUUAAACAUAAAUAUAGGUUUAAGCAAGCAACAAGUAAAGAGCCCGGUUAGCUCCGCGGUAAGGUGUCGGACUCGUAACUCGGCUCAAUUCUUCACCCUGGGUUUUCUUCCCCGUGGUGGUGUGUCCAAACCGGCUCGAGGUAGAGAAAGCUACCCGAUUUUGCUGCCGCAAGCAAUUUUUAUCGUUCGUUUGGUAGAUGUGGGAAGGAAGAGAAGAAGAGUACAGUGCCUAGUCCGGAUAGGCAUGGCACGUAGAUGGGUGACUAUAGGUUGACCACUGACCAACUUCACGAUUGGUUGUUAUAGUUAAUCUUUUGCGCGAUUAAUUCACUCUCCAAGGAAUUGUAGGAACUUCCUUAGAAACUGUGCCAAGUUCUUCGUGUACAAAAGACCGUAAAUUAACUACGUGUAGAGAAAAUCAUGCGAAAAUUCGCCUCGGGUGACGAGGUAUCGUCGUGGAUAAUCGUUACUAACCGAAUUAUCGAAAAUUCGAUGAAUUAAAAAAACACGUAUAUGAUCGAUGCUGCGAUCUAUGGCAGACGGCCGGAACUGCGGGAAAGUAACAAGGAGCAUAGAAUGUACGAGAAGAUAUCUCAAUUCCUGUUAGACAAGGAAAGCUAUAUUGUGCGACAAGGACAGACGUCCUUCUACCACUACUUUAUACAUUUAAACCAUUAAUUUCUAACAGUCAAAUUAUUAAUUUAUGACAUUUAAGCCAUUAAUUUAUAACACUUAAGCUAUUAAUUUAUUACAUUUAAGCUAUUAAUUUAUAACGUCCAAGUCAUUAAUUUACAACAUUUAAACUAUUACUUUAUACAUUUAAAUCAUUAAUUUCUAACAUUUGAGCUAUUAAUUUAUAACGUCUAAGACAUUAAUUUAUAACAUUUAAGCAAAUAAUUAACAACGAUUAAGCUAUUAAUUUAUAACAAUUGAAACAUUAAUGGACAACAUGUAAAACAUUAAUUUAUAAGAAUCAAACCAUUCUUUAAGGCAUCAAUAAGUCUCUCGCUAAUAGCCUAAUAGAUCGAUAGUUUUAACAAAGAAAUACCUAACCGCGAUUACAGCCAAUUAAUUGAUGUUAUACGCUACAAAAUUAAUAACUGUAUCACGUACAGCGACGAGGGCGGUACUGAAGAAAAAAAGCCAUUUUACGUUACAACUAUGACGAGUAAAUUUAUUCGUUUCACUUGAGAGGAAUUAAAGAGGAACCUGAAUUUUAAGUAAGCAUUAAGUAAGAAUUUUAAACAUCGCAGACAGUG
rnacentral:misc_RNA from 1 species